UAUCACGGGGUGCUGAUUAUUUCGGCUGAGAUUAUACCCAUAGAACCUGAUGCAGGUAAUGCUGACGCAGGAAUUAAGAGAUAUA
rnacentral:ncRNA from 1 species